rnacentral:rRNA from 1 species
UUCCUGGAAUGGUUUUUUGUUUAAAUGUUUUUUCGCCUAAGGAUGGGUCUGCGGCCGAUUAGGUAGUUGGUUAGGUAACGGCUUACCAAGCCAUUGAUCGGUACGGGUUGUGAGAGCAAGAGCCCGGAGAUGGAACCUGAGACAAGGUUCCAGGCCCUACGGGGUGCAGCAGGCGCGAAACCUCCGCAAUGUGAGAAAUCGCGACGGGGGGAUCCCAAGUGCCAUUCUUAACGGGAUGGCUUUUCAUUAGUGUAAAGAGCUUUUGGAAUAAGGGCUGGGCAAGACCGGUGCCAGCCGCCGCGGUAACACCGGCAGCUCUAGUGGUAGCAGUUUUUAUUGGGCCUAAAGCGUCCGUAGCCGGUUUAAUAAGUCUCUGGUGAAAUCCUGUAGCUUAACUGUGGGAAUUGCUGGAGAUACUAUUAGACUUGGGACCGGGAGAGGUUAGAGGUACUCCCAGGGUAGAGGUGAAAUUCUGUAAUCCUGGGAGGACCGCCUGUUGCGAAGGCGUCUAACUGGAACGGUUCUGACGGUGAGGGACGAAAGUUAGGGGCGCGAACCGGAUUAGAUACCCGGGUAGUCCUAACCGUAAACGAUGCGGACUUGGUGUUGGGGUGGCUUUGAGCUGCUCCAGUGCCGAAGGGAAGCUGUUAAGUCCGCCGCCUGGGAAGUACGGUCGCAAGACUGAAACUUAA